CUUUUGUACUGGUGAAACUGCGAAUGGCUCAUUAAAUCAGUUAUCGUUUAUUUGAUAGUACCCUACUACAUGGAUACCUGUGGUAAUUCUAGAGCUAAUACAUGCGCAAAACCCCGACUUCGGAAGGGGUGUAUUUAUUAGAUAAAAAACCAAUGCCCUUCGGGGCUCCUUGGUGAUUCAUAAUAACUUAACGAAUCGCAUGGCCUUGCGCCGGCGAUGGUUCAUUCAAAUUUCUGCCCUAUCAACUUUCGAUGGUAGGAUAGUGGCCUACCAUGGUGGCAACGGGUAACGGGGAAUUAGGGUUCGAUUCCGGAGAGGGAGCCUGAGAAACGGCUACCACAUCCAAGGAAGGCAGCAGGCGCGCAAAUUACCCAAUCCCGAUCCGGGGAGGUAGUGACAAUAAAUACUGAUAUAGGGCUCUUUUGGGUCUUAUAAUUGGAAUGAGUACAAUCUAAAUCCCUUAACGAGGAACAAUUGGAGGGCAAGUCUGGUGCCAGCAGCCGCGGUAAUUCCAGCUCCAAUAGCGUAUAUUAAAGUUGUUGCAGUUAAAAAGCUCGUAGUUGAACCUUGGGCCCGUCCUGCCGGUCCGCCUCACCGCGAGUACUGGUCCGGAUGGGCCUUUCUUUCUGGGGAAUCCCAUGGCCUUCACUGGCUGUGGCGGGGAACCAGGACUUUUACUGUGAAAAAAUUAGAGUGUUCAAAGCAGGCCUUUGCUCGGAUACAUUAGCAUGGAAUAAUAAAAUAGGACGUGCGGUUCUAUUUUGUUGGUUUCUAGGACCGCCGUAAUGAUUAAUAGGGAUAGUCGGGGGCGUCAGUAUUCAGCUGUCAGAGGUGAAAUUCUUGGAUUUGCUGAAGACUAACUACUGCGAAAGCAUUCGCCAAGGAUGUUUUCAUUAAUCAGGGAACGAAAGUUAGGGGAUCGAAGACGAUUUAAGAAGGAUUUAGGCUGCGCCCCCCUGUGGGGUUGGCCUAAAUCGGUAUUUGGUCGUCAACAGUAAGCUCAAAGUGUCUUGCUAGUCUCCCUUCCGGGGGAGGCAACACCGUCAAACUGCGGGAACGUCCUAAAGCCGGAGCUACCAAGCUGGCAUUGAAAGGUGUCAGUGGCCGGGGUAAUGACCCAGGGUACGGUAACAACGCUCCGGAUGUGACAAUGGAUAACCUGCAACCAAGCGCUACCGCCGGUUGGCCAUGCGUGCAGUUCACAGACUAGAUGUCGGUGGGGGGUCUGCCCCUUAAGAUAUAGUCGAAGCCCAGCGUGAAAGCCUGGGAGUAGUUGCAGAUACCGUCGUAGUCUUAACCAUAAACUAUGCCGACUAGGGAUCGGGCGGUGUUUCUAUGAUGACCCGCUCGGCACCUUACGAGAAAUCAAAAGUUUU
rnacentral:rRNA from 1 species